AGGGUUUGAUCAUGGCUCAGGAUGAACGCUGGCGGCGUGCUUAACACAUGCAAGUCAAGGGGGCCCAGCAAUGGGCAACCGGCGAACGGGUGCGUAACACGUGAGCAACCUACCGAAUUGUGGGGGAUAGCCGGCCCAACGGCCGGGUAAUACCGCGUACGAUCGAGACGAGGCAUUUCGACUCGAUGAAAUCUACGGAGCAAUUCGAGGGGCUCGCGGCCUAUCAGCUAGUUGGUGAGGUAACGGCUCACCAAGGCUACGACGGGUAGCUGGUCUGAGAGGAUGGCCAGCCACAUUGGGACUGAGAUACGGCCCAGACUCCUACGGGAGGCAGCAGUGGGGAAUCUUGCGCAAUGGCCUAACGGCUGACGCAGCGACGCCGCGUGAGGGAUGACGCUCUUCGGAGUGUAAACCUCUUUUGCCCGGGACGAACUGCCAGUUUUCACUGGCUUGACGGUACCGGGUGAAUAAGCACCGGCUAACUCCGUGCCAGCAGCCACGGUAAUACGGGGGGUGCGAGCGUUGUCCGGAAUCACUGGGCGUAAAGGGCGCGUAGGUGGUCUGAUAAGGGUGUGGUGAAAGCCCGGGGCUCAACCCCGGGUCGGCCGUGCCGACUGUUGGACUAGAGUGCUGUAGGGGCAGGCGGAAUUCCGGGUGUAGCGGUGGAAUGCGUAGAGAUCCGGAGGAAGACCGGUGGCGAAGGCGGCCUGCUGGGCAGUUACUGACACUGAGUGCGCGACAGCGUGGGGAGCAAACAGGAUUAGAUACCCUGGUAGUCCACGCCGUAAACGAUGGGUACUAGGUGCCUGGGGGAGCGACCCCUUGGGU
rnacentral:rRNA from 1 species